GUGUGAAUUGCCUGGGAAGUUGUUAAAAUGCAGAGUCUGAUUCAGCAGGUCUGGGCCAGGGGCCCAAGAUUCUGCAUUUCUAACCAGCUCCCAGGUGAUGUCAAU
rnacentral:pre_miRNA from 1 species